rnacentral:SRP_RNA from 1 species
GCCAGGUGUUGUGGCGUGUGCCUGUAAUCCCAGCUACUCAGGAGGCUGAGACAGGAGAUUCGCUUGAACUCGGGAGGCGGAGGUUGCAGUGAGCAGAGAUCUCACCACUGCACUCCAGCCUGGGUGACAGAGUGAGAUUCUGUCUCAA